ACGGAUUGUGCAGAACUUGCCACCACGAAAAACUCAGAGAAGCUCAAUUCCACUGAAAAGAGGCCGGCAGCUUCUUAAAACAUUGGAAGACUACGCUAGACCAUCAGAUCAAAUUGCUGAACUAACAGCGUACCAAAAUGGAUAAAAGACGCAGAUUGACCAGCCCACGUUUUCAUCCAC